UACGUAGGGUGCAAGCGUUGUCCGGAAUUAUUGGGCGUAAAGAGCUCGUAGGCGGUCUGUCGCGUCUGCUGUGAAAACUCGGGGCUUAACCCCGGGCCUGCAGUGGGUACGGGCAGACUAGAGUGCGGUAGGGGAGACUGGAAUUCCUGGUGUAGCGGUGAAAUGCGUAGAUAUCGGGAGGAACACCUGUGGCGAAGGCGGCCCCUGGUCGGAUACUGACGCUGAGACGCGAAAGCGUGGGGAGCAAACAGG
rnacentral:rRNA from 1 species